CCAUGCUGCUAUCUCUUACAUACCUGGCCAUCAAGGGGUGAUACAGUAGUCUUCUCAACUCCAUUAAGCUCUCCCAGCACAGAUUCUAUGGAUGUUGCACAGGAGCUGCACUUGAUAUUCCCUAUUUUGAACUUAAUUGUUUUAACCUUCUCACCUCUGUGAUCCUUCUCUCUAGGGACAGCAAUUGCAACACCAUCUGGAGGCUGCAGCAAAGGUGCCUUGAGGUCAUCCCUUCCAUUAACUUCCAUUUUAC
rnacentral:misc_RNA from 1 species